rnacentral:rRNA from 1 species
UACGUAGGGUGCGAGCGUUGUCCGGAAUUACUGGGCGUAAAGAGCUCGUAGGUGGUUUGUCGCGUCUGCCGUGAAAAUCCGGGGCUCAACCCCGGACUUGCGGUGGGUACGGGCAGACUAGAGUGUGGUAGGGGAGACUGGAAUUCCUGGUGUAGCGGUGAAAUGCGCAGAUAUCAGGAGGAACACCGAUGGCGAAGGCAGGUCUCUGGGCCACUACUGACGCUGAGAAGCGAAAGCGUGGGGAGCGAACAGG